rnacentral:rRNA from 1 species
UACGAAGGGGGCUAGCGUUGUUCGGAGUAACUGGGCGUAAAGGGCGCGUAGGCGGAAGAGUAAGUUGUCUGUGAAAACCCCGGGCUUAACCCGGGACGUGCAGGCAAAACUGCAUUUCUUGAAUGUUUGAGAGGUUAGUGGAAUUCCAGGUGUAGGAGUGAAAUCCGUAGAUAUCUGGAGGAACACCGGAGGCGAAGGCGGCUAACUGGCAAAACAUUGACGCUGAGGCGCGAAAGCGUGGGUAGCAAACAGG